rnacentral:misc_RNA from 1 species
AACGCAUAUUGCGCCCUCUGGUAUUCCGGAGGGCAUGCCUGUCCGAGCGUCAUUACUACCUUCAAGCACUGGGCUUGGUUGUUGAGUCGAUUGUCCUUUUGGUGGACAGGCUUAAAAUGCAAUGGCGAUGCCGAGUCCUGAUGCUGAUGCCCGAGCGUAUGGAGCUUCGUCACACGCUUUAGUGGCUCAGCCGGCAUUUUCGUCGAUUAAACCUUAAAAAAAUCUAAGAUUUGACCUCGGAUCAGGUAAGGAUACCCGCUGAACUUAA